UGUGUAACCUUCAAUUAAUAUCACAAAGCACAUUAAAUUAACAAUACCAAAAGAAUCUAUAACUGUUGUUUCCUGGAAACAAAAAAAACCCCAAACCACAUCCACUGCCUUUGAGUCACUUCCAUCCCAUGGCGCUUUAUGUUAGAGUAGAACUGCUCCAUGUUUUCUUGGCUUUCAGUUAAUAUGAAAGCAGAUCGCUAGGCCUUUCUUCAGAAGAACCACUGGGUGGAACUGAACCACCAACCUUUAUGUUAGUAGACGACCAUAAAUCAUUUGCAACACCCAGGGAACUGUACGAUGAAAAGCCUCAUAAAAUAAAAUUGAAAUCCAGUCUAAAACUAGUUUUCUUUUCCAAAAGCUUUCUCACUUUUCCCUCCAAAGCUUACAUGGUAACUCGCAAAGGUUUUCUAACUGCUUAUAUUUUAGACAAAUGGGGAUUACCACUGCUGUUACACAUUGUUAGAUGGUGCUGAGUUGGUUCUGACUCAUAGUGACCUUAUUUUACAACACAAUGAAACAUUGCCCAGUCCUGCUUCAGCCUCACAAUCAUUGCUAUGUUUCAGCCCAUUGCUGCAGCCACUGUUGUCAGUCCAUCUCAUUGAGGGUCUUCCUCUUUUUAGAUAACCCUCUUCUUUACCAAACAUGAUGUCCUUCUCCAGGAACUGGUCCCUCCUGAUAAUAUGCCCAAUGUAUGCGAGCUGAAGUCUUGCCAUCGUCGAUUCUAAGGAGCAUUCUGGCAGAACUUCUUCCAAGACAGAAACACUGAGCUGAUGGUCAGACAUGCCUCCCCAUUGUUCAGAUCUCUGUGGAAUGGAACAGUUCAAAAAGUAUGGAUUACCAUGCCAUGGUGAACAACUGAAACAAUAAUAUAACGAAGAACCAGACAUUUCAAAGGAAUCUAAUUUCUGUGACACAAAAGGUUGACAUCCAAAAUCUAAAAAUGUGAGACUACGGCACUUGAGUCAACAAAAAAUAUGUAAGUCAACGGAUAUUUCUGCUUCCUUCAUACCCUAAGAACCUUUCCAACCUUAGUUCCCUAUUAGCAAAACCACAAACAGUUGCUCUAGCAACAGAACACUAGGGAAGAAAGUAAGAGAGAUAUGCUAACGUUUACUCUGAUUUUCCAUCACUUUAAAAUGUAAAUAUUUUGGGGGAGAAAUUAAACUCAGAUUAUAGUUAAUCUACUGGUUUUGUGUGUUAUGGAUCUUGUAUUUAAAUUUGGUGGGCUAUUUCAGAUCAUAAAAAAUUAGUCAUGGAAAAGCAGGCAACUUUUAAUUGUCAAUAACAAAGGGCAGCAGAUAAGAGACAUUCUAAAAGAGCAAAUAAAGCAAUAUCUAUUGUAUCCGACUUUCGAAUGCACUAAGAAACACCAUGCCCCAGUGCCAUCGAGUCAAUUCCAACUCAUAGCGACCCUGUAGAAACACUAUUAGAUGUAUAUUUGUAAGUAAAUAAUAAUGUAACUAUAGAUGUAUACAAGUGCAUAUAAUCAUAUUACAUGCUCAAGUACUGGCUUAACUCAUUCUUUUUAAUUGACUAUGACUGAUGACAACUCCACUGAACAUUAAACAAACAAACAAAAAAAGGUCCUAUUUAAUCCAGGAAGUAGGUAAAUCUACUCAGGUUCAGAAGUUCCUUGAUUUAUGAACUCCCAACUGAAGAAACUUUUCUAGGUGGCCGAGAAAAAAUGCAAGUCAACUCUGCCUAUUAUUAAUAGUCGGCAUUAACAGUCACUUAUUACUUUGAACUUGAAAACAAAUGGGACUUAAAUAGACUUUCUGAAGCUAAAUGUUAGUUACCAAGUAGAGAUUUGACUAAACAUCAACAACUUGGGGGAAAGAAAGUGCUGAUUCUGGCCUUUGUCUUAGACUUCUUACUUGUGAUCAUGACAUCCAGUCUCAAAGUGAAAACAGAACAUGUAUACUUCAUUAAGAGUUUUGUAAAUAUGACUUCCUAAGAGUUUUCUGAAUGAUGAAAGCUGGAAGGUUCCUAAAUCUGUUUUCUGUAAGUUUAACUCAAGCAUUUGAAUAUCUGACACCAAAGUAAAUGCUAUGUGAAGGCAGAAGAGAAAUUUUGACUGUAAUAAGCCUAUUAUAAACUCACUGGGGGACAUGAUAAGAACAUAGGAGAAAGAAAAGGCAACACUGUAUAUAUUCAAAUAAAUGGCACGUUUCCUUUUAUCCUUCUCAUUGUCAAUCCCUCUCCGUCUUCUGACUAUAUUUGUAUUUCAGUCUAUCAGCCUCUCUGUCUCUAGUUGAGCUUGUUUUCCUUGGUUCUGUCAUUUCCUUACUAUCCUUUUCUAUGAUUCCAUCCUCCUGUUUUUUUCUCCUUCACUUUGCCUCUGGUUUCCACACAGGCACGUGGGAAAACCUCAUUCAGUGAAAAGGCACAAUAACAGUCUUAAAACAUCCAAGUGCUUGUCAAAGUACUUCUUGAGUGUCCACAUUGUCACAGAUAUUUCAUACACUGUAUGUGGAUGAAUACACGGAUAUAAUAAACUAUUAAGUGCUUUCUGCAUUGUGCAACAUACCUAAAAAGAAAUAAGCAAACUGAGAAAUACUUCUAGAGUAAAUAUACAGAAACACUUCACAGUGAAUAUUAUUGGUAAGUAUCACAUAUUUUGCCUUGCUGCAGCCAUAGCCAUAAAAGAAAUAUUAAACAUCAGUUUUGUAGCUUUUACUUACCAUGUAAUUUAUUCUUAAAUACAGAAAUAAACACAUAAACCAUUAUCACCUCCCUCUUUUAAAUUUUUUAGCCAUUAAGGGCUGUCGGAAAGAGUAGUGUUACUAGUUACAUAGCUGGUAAUUUCAAUAGCUGUCAAUUCUGUCACCAAAAAGACAGAAAGGCAAAAUACAGGCCAAAUACACACUAUUCUUAAAAAUGUGGCUUAACAUAAGUAUAUAUCAGUGAGAUUUCUUUUCCAAUUAUAUCCUGUUGUAGGUAAAUAUCUUAGCUAAUAUUAGCUAUUUACUUUUGGUGUUAACAUCUACAACUGCAUUUUGAUAGUUCUUAGCAAUGAUCAGAAUUCUGACUACUAAAGUAGACACUGGGUUUUCGCCAACAAGUGCUAAGUAAACCAUGUAUUUCUACAAAAUCUUUUUAAGAAUGGGGGGGCAAGUCUUCUCAUUUCCUCCUACAGGGUGCUUGUGAAAUACAGAAAUAAGGUCAGUGAACCCAGUGCCGUCAAGUGAGCACAUACAUAAUUCUAAGGCAUGCCAGGAAAGGGACAAGAUGUCUGCAUGCACACUGGUCUUUAGAGAACACACAGCCCUUUUCCCCACGUUAGAAGAAAGAAAGUAAUUUACGUACCGCUAUUACUGU